AAGAUUAAUGAUUUAGGCUUCUAACCUAAAAGUAAUGAUUUAAUCAUUUAAUCUUU
rnacentral:tRNA from 1 species